rnacentral:rRNA from 1 species
CCAGUGAGUGGCGGACGGGUGAGUAACACGUAGGUAACCUGCCCCGGAGCGGGGGAUAACAUUUGGAAACAGAUGCUAAUACCGCAUAACAACGAAAGCCACAUGGCUUUUGUUUGAAAGAUGGCUUUGGCUAUCACUCUGGGAUGGACCUGCGGUGCAUUAGCUAGUUGGUAAGGUAACGGCUUACCAAGGCGAUGAUGCAUAGCCGAGUUGAGAGACUGAUCGGCCACAAUGGAACUGAGACACGGUCCAUACUCCUACGGGAGGCAGCAGUAGGGAAUCUUCCACAAUGGGCGCAAGCCUGAUGGAGCAACACCGCGUGAGUGAAGAAGGGUUUCGGCUCGUAAAGCUCUGUUGUUGGAGAAGAACAUGCGUGAGAGUAACUGUUCACGCAGUGACGGUAUCCAACCAGAAAGUCACGGCUAACUACGUGCCAGCAGCCGCGGUAAUACGUAGGUGGCAAGCGUUAUCCGGAUUUAUUGGGCGUAAAGCGAGCGCAGGCGGUUGCUUAGGUCUGAUGUGAAAGCCUUCGGCUUAACCGAAGAAGUGCAUCGGAAACCGGGCGACUUGAGUGCAGAAGAGGACAGUGGAACUCCAUGUGUAGCGGUGGAAUGCGUAGAUAUAUGGAAGAACACCAGUGGCGAAGGCGGCUGUCUGGUCCGCAACUGACGCUGAGGCUCGAAAGCAUGGGUAGCGA